UGGGGAAUAUUGGACAAUGGGGGAAACCCUGAUCCAGCCAUGCCGCGUGAGUGAUGAAGGCCCUAGGGUUGUAAAGCUCUUUUGUGCGGGAAGAUAAUGACGGUACCGCAAGAAUAAGCCCCGGCUAACUUCGUGCCAGCAGCCGCGGUAAUACGAAGGGGGCUAGCGUUGCUCGGAAUCACUGGGCGUAAAGGGUGCGUAGGCGGGUUUCUAAGUCAGAGGUGAAAGCCUGGAGCUCAACUCCAGAACUGCCUUUGAUACUGGAAGUCUUGAGUUCGGGAGAGGUGAGUGGAACUGCGAGUGUAGAGGUGAAAUUCGUAGAUAUUCGCAAGAACACCUGUGCCGAAGGCGACUCACUGGCCCGAUACUGACGCUGAGGCACGAAAGCGUGGGGAGCAAACA
rnacentral:rRNA from 1 species